rnacentral:rRNA from 1 species
AUUGCCCUAGUAACGGCGAGUGAAGCGGCAACAGCUCAAAUUUGAAAUCUGGCGCAAGCCCGAGUUGUAAUUUGUAGAGGAUGCUUCUGGCCAGCGGCCGUUCUAAGUUCCUUGGAACAGGACGUCAUAGAGGGUGAGAAUCCCGUAUGUGACCGGCGCGCAGCCUUUACGUAGCUCCUUCGACGAGUCGAGUUGUUUGGGAAUGCAGCUCUAAAUGGGAGGUAAAUUUCUUCUAAAGCUAAAUACCGGCCAGAGACCGAUAGCGCACAAGUAGAGUGAUCGAAAGAUGAAAAGCACUUUGGAAAGAGAGUUAAAAAGCACGUGAAAUUGUUGAAAGGGAAGCGCUUGCAACCAGACUUCGUAGCGAUGUUCCGCUGGUCUUCUGACCGGUCUACUCAUCGUCGCGAGGCCAACAUCGUCUGGGACCGCUGGAUAAGACCUAAGGAAUGUAGCUUCCCUCGGGAAGUGUUAUAGCCUGUGGUGAUGCAGCGUGUCUCGGGGCGAGGUCCGCGCUUCGGCAAGGAUGUUGGCGUAAUGGUUGUCAGCGGCCCGUCUUGAAACACGGACCAAGGGAGUCUAACAUCUAUGCGAGUGUUCGGGUGUCAAACCCCUACGCGUAAUGAAAGUGAACGGAGGUGGGGAAGCGCAAGCUGCACCAUCGACCGAUCCUGAUGUCCUCGGAUGGAUUUGAGUAAGAGCAUAGCUGUUGGGACCCGAAAGAUGGUGAACUAUGCCUGAAUAGGGUGAAGCCAGAGGAAACUCUGGUGGAGGCUCGCAGCGUUCUGACGUGCAAUCGAUCGUCAAUUUGGUAUGGGGGGCGAAAGACUAAUCGAACCAUCUAGUAGCUGGUUCCUGCCGA